rnacentral:tRNA from 2 species
UCCCUGGUGGUCUAGUGGUUAGGACUCAGUGCUUUUACCGCUGCAGCCUGGGUUCAAUCCCUGGUCUGGGAA